CUAUAAAUGUCAAUAAAUAUAUAAAAUUUGAACUGUAAUAAAAUGAGUUAACAAAAAAUCUCUGUAACUAAUUACAAGAAUGUAUUUGUGAAUAGCAGCACAUCCUUACAAUUAAACAAUGGUAGAAAGAAACUAUUAGGCUGGAUAAAAGCAAAUUGUAGCAAAUUCUGCAAUAGAUUGUUUCACUUCCUCAACUCUUUCUUCCACUUUUUCUGCUACAUCCCUUCAGCUCCAAUUUCCUUGCGCUUCCACCCAUUUGACACUCUAUUGAAUUGAGACAACAAGGUUGUGUGAGGUAGUCAACCUAUGAUUUCAUAAACUAGGAAAUAAAUUAGCAAGUGAUUGAAAGUCAAAAGAAGAUCGCAUAAUCUGCAUAGAAGAACGAUUUAAUAAAAUGAAUUUAUAUAGUGCAGCGAUUGUCACGAGUAUCCUUAUAAGAUUACUAAUUGAAGUAUUCCACAAGCUAUUUGCCACCAACGAACAAAUUCCCUUAGUAAAAACACAUAAUUUUAAGAAAGAAAGAUGUCAUAUGGCCAUCAAAUUUACAAGGACCUUACCAUAAGUUGCCACACUCUGGACUUUCUCACUGCAACUCCAUAUCAUACACCCAAAGGCCAGUAUAUGUGUGCUACCUUAUUUUUCACCUAAUCAACCAGCAUAGCCAUCGGUACAUUUCAACCUAGUAAAUUCUAAAGAUAUUUGACCAAUUGCAUAAUUUCCGUAGGGACAAAAAUAAUUAGCAAAGUAGAUAGCACCCUAUAUGUAGAUAUAGCAGACUUAUCAUUAUAGCAUUUCUCCUUUGAAAGCCAAGAGUUAAUUACCAUACUGUACUAACUAAACAAGCCCUUAGUAUAUAAAGCUAAUGAUACAUAUGGAUGUGAUGUUUACUUACUAGCAUUCUCCAUUUCUCCUUCUGUGCAAAAUAAUAUUUUCAUGAUAUCUGAUGACUGCUUAAUAUGAUCAUGCAACUAACUAGUUUAUUAAGUGUACAAGAAUAAAUACCUGGUAACAUUAAGCCCCAAAGCUAGCACAUCUCUAAGUUCAGCUCUUUGUAGUGCAACGCAAACCCAAAGAGAAACAUAAGACAUUUAAGGGACGCGAAAAAUCUUAACGUCAUAUCUUUGACAAUUUAACUUAAAAGGAAGUCUUAGAGAAUUUGAAAAAUCCUUUGUUGCUGACUUGCACAUCAUUGAAUCAAUUAAGAAUUAAGGAAAACUCAUAAAUUUAGUUCAUAUUUUGAAAUAAAUAAACAAUAGGGAAGAUCAUAGUGUUUAAGAUGCUCUAUCAGGCAUUUUGUCAAACAGCCGUAGGGCAUAAAUCUGUGAAUGUAAUAUCACCAUUAUCAUAUUGUGUAAUAAUACCCCACACAACUUCCAUUCAAACAAACAUAUCUCCAAAUCACCACACGAUCACAACCACAAAAUAAAAUCAGAACAUAGAUUAAGCUUCAAAACCCUAAACUCUCAAUUCCUCUGCUGUAAAUACAUAGGACACAGGCAAAUGCAAUAAAUAUGAUUGAAUUCCUCUGAGAAAUCAAAACACUCACAAGAAAUAAGGAAGAAUUCGAAUCCAAUCAAGAGAUAAAGAAAAAUGCUAACCUAGAGUUAUUCCAAUGCGCAGUAGACAAAGAGAAGGAAAUAGGGAAUUAAACAAGAAGAGAAUACAUUUCAUACUGCUAUUCCUGAAGGAUUUUGAGAUUCAUGGUAGGGGUGUAAGGAUUCGGACGGGAUAGAGAAACUGGGGAGGGGAAAAAUGAACUUCAAUUGUUCUAAGAGAGUAGGGUUUUUUAGAGAUUUGAGAGGGAGAUUUGGGGAAAAAAAUUCUCUUUCUUUUUUGAAACUAGUAAUUUUUUUGACAUUUGCUGUACAUAUCACUAAUUAAAUGUCAUUUUAUUCUUAAUUAUGUGACAUUUCUAUUAAAUGUCACAGUAUUUUUGUCAAUUGUCAUCAAACGUUAGUAUUUUUGC
rnacentral:lncRNA from 1 species